GUAAUUGCCGACCUGAGUGAGGCUGUGUACAGCGUUUGGGAUGGUGAUUGGGGAGAUCGUCUACUGAGGGCAGCAGCAGUAUCUCCCUAAAGAAGAAGAAGAAGAAAAGAUAAAACUAUUGACAUUUAAAAUCUACAACUUCCUCUAAAAGCUGGUACUGGUUAUCACUGCACUUUAUCAAAUAGUAUCCCCAUUUAAAUUGAGAAUGAAGAGGUUCUUGGAUAAAGAACUUGUAAAAAUCAGAUCCGAAUUCUAAGAAUACUUCUCAGAAGCUCUCAAACUAAAUAUGGAGCAGGAAAUAUUGCAAUGAGUCCUCAAGAGUGAGAAAUAAAAAAACAGUUGUUCUGUUCUUUCAUUGUGCUUUUUAAAUUUCAUUAUUCGUAAUAUAUAGUACUUACGUGUGGUGAAGAAUGUAGUCAUAGGGGAAUGUAUUUGUCAGCAUAUUAGUAUAUAAAAAAGAAUAAAAGUAAAAACAAAAGAAGCAUAUUCAGUAGGUCCUCAUAUAUCAUAUUGGAAAUUUUGGCUUUUCCUUUUUGAAACAAAUCUAAGAAAACAAUAAAUAAAAUUUUUAAAGUGUACAUUUAUGCCGUAACUAGGUAAAAGAAACUUUUAUCUAGAUGAAAAAGCUAGAUCUGUG
rnacentral:lncRNA from 1 species